rnacentral:rRNA from 1 species
GUAGGGUGCGAGCGUUAAUCGGAAUUACUGGGCGUAAAGCGAGCGCAGACGGUUAAAUAAGUCAGAUGUGAAAUCCCCGAGCUCAACUUGGGACGUGCAUUUGAAACUGUGUAACUAGAGUGUGUCAGAGGGAGGUAGAAUUCCACGUGUAGCAGUGAAAUGCGUAGAGAUGUGGAGGAAUACCGUUGGCGAAGGCAGCCUCCUGGGAUAACACUGACGUUCAUGCUCGAAAGCGUGGGUAGCAAACAGGAUUAGAUACCCUGGUAGUCCACGCCCUAAACGAUGACAAUUAGCUGUUGGGGUACUAGUUACCUUAGUAGCGAAUGAACGCGUGAAAUUGUCCGCCUGGGGAGUACGGUCGCAAGAUUA